rnacentral:tRNA from 1 species
GAGGAUAUAGCUCAAGUGGUAGAGCGCAUGCCUAGCUUGCACAGGGUCCUGGGUUCAAUCCCCAGUACCUCCU